GCAAGUCGAACGAGAAGCCAGAGCUUGCUCUGGUGGAAAGUGGCGCACGGGUGAGUAACGCGUAGGCAACCUGCCCCGAGAUUAGGAAUAACUCCGGGAAACCGAAGCUAAUACCGAAUAACAUCUUAGAGUCGCAUGACUCAGAGAUCAAAACUCGGGUGUCUAGGGAUGGGCCUGCGUAAGAUUAGGUAGUUGGUGAGGUAACGGCUCACCAAGGCUACGAUCUUUAGCUGGUCUGAGAGGAUGAUC
rnacentral:rRNA from 1 species